rnacentral:rRNA from 1 species
AACGCGAAGAACCUUACCAAGGCUUGACAUCCCUCUUGAUGGUAUAGAGAUAUGCCAGCCCCUUCGGGGGGAGAGGAGACAGGUGGUGCAUGGUUGUCGUCAGCUCGUGUCGUGAGAUGUUGGGUUAAGUCCCGCAACGAGCGCAACCCUUAUCUUUAGUAGCCAACGGGCGAGCCGGGCACACUAGAGAGACUGCCGUGGAUAACACGGAGGAAGGUGGGGAUGACGUCAAAUCAUCAUGCCCCUUAUGUCUUGGGCUACACACGUGCUACAAUGGCUGUAACAAAGCGAGGCGAGCCUGCGAAGGUAAGCAAAACGCAUAAAAGCAGUCCCAGUUCGGAUUGUAGUCUGCAACCCGACUACAUGAAGUUGGAAUCGCUAGUAAUCGCGAAUCAGCAUGUCGCGGUGAAUACGUUCCCGGGUCUUGUACACACCG